rnacentral:rRNA from 1 species
UACGUAGGGUGCAAGCGUUGUCCGGAAUUAUUGGGCGUAAAGAGCUCGUAGGCGGUUCGUCGCGUCGGCUGUGAAAUCCCGAGGCUCAACCUCGGGUCUGCAGUCGAUACGGGCGGACUGGAGUACUGCAGGGGAGACUGGAAUUCCUGGUGUAGCGGUGAAAUGCGCAGAUAUCAGGAGGAACACCGGUGGCGAAGGCGGGUCUCUGGGCAGUUACUGACGCUGAGGAGCGAAAGCGUGGGGGAGCAAACAGG